UGAUUCAUCAGGUGCUGUGAAAGCACAUAUACAGGCCAGUGUAUAAAAUGGAAAGAGUCCUUUCAUGGCAUCUGAUGAAGUGAGGUCCAGCUCAUGAAAGCCUGUACUAGAUACAUUUCUAAAGUCAUUAAAUCCACAAGUUUAGCAAAUCAACCCUGCCUUCUGCUUGACUUCAGACUAACACAGCUAACUAUGUCUCUUUGCUCACAGAUAGGACAGCUUAUGAGAAAACGGUUCAUGUUUCAAAUCAAAGUUCCCUGCCAUCGCUCUGAAACAUUCCCAGCGCUGGAGUUCAGGGUGGAUUUGAGAGAAUACUUCAACUGGCUGCAAGUCAGGACACAGGCUGGCUCCUGAGUCCACAACAAAGCAAGAGGGAGGUGGGCUCAUCAGGUUUGAGUGAUUCUCAGCAAUGUGAAUGCGGAGAAGUCUCAUGUGGAUUCGACACCAUCUUCAGGAAAGGUCUUCACUAACACACCACAGCUCCUGUGACACAAUGAUAGAAGGGGAGCAGUGGGAAAGGCUCCCGAGACUCUGGAGGAGAAAGGAAAGUGCUCAUGGGAUACAGCAGACCGGAUUUUGGAGGCCCUCCCAACAAGCCAUCCUGACUAAUAUUGCCUUGUGACCUGAUGGGAGCAGUGUAGCUGUGUCAAUGCUAAAGGAUGCUGGAUGCUGUGUUUACAGCAGAAUGGAGGUACAGAUGUGACUGUCUGUGCCGAGGGCCCUGGGGUACCGUGCUGUGGCACAGCACUCGUGUCUCCAUGCUGGAGGCUUGCGGCUGCCGUGUUGCU